rnacentral:lncRNA from 1 species
CUUGUCAACUUUCGUAAAGUAGGCAGUCAGAAUUCUCAUAUUAAAUACCAGAGCUGGAAAUUUGACUCAUUACAUAAGACAGAAUAAAAUUUUAUUAAGAGACUAGCCCUGGCAGGGUGACCUAAUUGUAGGUUACAGUAAUCUGUAGGAACCUGAGAAAUUGUAAUAUACUUACAUACACAUAUUUACUUCCAGUGGGAGAUGCAAUUUGAUCCAAAUGCAAGAUUGUUUAUCAUGGAAGCCUCUACAAUAAACUUAUGAGAUCCAUUGUUGCUUCUUAUGUACACUACCACAUUCAGAUCUCACAAAACCAUAUCAGCAAGAUCGGUACACUUCUUGGCAAACAUUAACUGGCUAGCCCGACAAGGUAAGUUUGCGAUUUAGACCAGUGUCAGUAGACUAAACAAGCAUCAAACAUGCUUGAGAUUGAUGGAAUAAGCAGUUGUCUUCCUAAGGAUUAGCCAAAUUGGUGGCCUCGGUACAAGAGUAAACCUUGUAACUAGGUUUUGAAAACAGUUCUCAGUAAAUUGAACCGCCAAUAUGAGGUCAAAAUUGUGAAAGCUCUUCAACAUAUCUCCAGGGCUAAACAUUGUUAUUUGCUCCCAACUUUACAAUUUACUACUAAAACCAUAUUACUGUAUUUUAAUUGAUAAUUAAUUUGAAAUUAAUUGCGACAAAAUAAUAAAGUUAACAAUGUUGAUUAGAUUUUCAGUUUAUGAUCAGAAAUAUUUUCGUUUGAACUAAAACACUUAUUCCAUAUAUAAAUAAGGUCAUACACUAUAUGUUGAUAAGUCUUUCCUGAAUUUUAAGCGAUAGGUUUCGAAAAUAUCUAAAAAGACCAAACUUUUUAUUAGCGAAGAAUAUUUCUUGCUGAACAAUAUAUGGCUAUAUUUCUUGUCUAUCUUUAUUGAGCGUUUUCAUUUGUUUGGCUUCAAUCAGUGCACGAGGAAGCUAUGGUUAUGGAUGUGUUUUAAAUUUAGGCAUGUUUCCCUCCUUGAAGUAUAUUCCCUUUAGGCAUUUCUGAACUUACUUUGCAAAUUGUGAUUAAUUUCCUUGUUAUGGGUAAUUACUAUUUUGGAAGUUAGAGCAAGUUGCUCUCUCUAUGUCUCUCUAAAAUUUUGUUUUUUCCUCUAUAAGACUUUUGUUUGCGUGCACAGCAUGAUUAAGGGCGUGCACGCACACCGUUGGAGUGUGAUAGAGACAAGAGGUGAAGUGUAGCAUCCAAAUCUUCUUCUUCUUCUUGUUCUGUUCUUUGUUCUUUCUCUAAAUUCAGAAACCAGUUAGAGUUCCAAUUGCUCCUAAAAAAAUAAAUACCAUAAUACAGAGUACUAAACUUUAAAGUUGUAUCAUCCUUAUCUCAAACCAUGUGGAAGGUGGAAGCCAGAAUAAUAUUUAUAAUCAAACUUUUCUUUUUCAAAAAUGGGUUUUAUAAAAUGUUUUGACCUUCAUUCUUCAUUCAAUGGAGCUUCUGCCGUUUGGAACCUAGUAGAGUAUAUACGGGUAACAUAAAAUUAACAUAUUGAAUUGAAUAUAUUAUAGUUCUACUAUUAAAUCUCAAAUCCAAGUUUGAUCCCCUUCCUUGUCAACUUUCGUAAAGUAGGCAGUCAGAAUUCUCAUAUUAAAUACCAGAGCUGGAAAUUUGACUCAUUACAUAAGACAGAAUAAAAUUUUAUUAAGAGACUAGCCCUGGCAGGGUGACCUAAUUGUAGGUUACAGUAAUCUGUAGGAACCUGAGAAAUUGUAAUAUACUUACAUACACAUAUUUACUUCCAGUGGGAGAUGCAAUUUGAUCCAAAUGCAAGAUUGUUUAUCAUGGAAGCCUCUACAAUAAACUUAUGAGAUCCAUUGUUGCUUCUUA